AUUUCCCAUUAAAACCUUGUUAUAACAUCCAAAAUGUUAACCUACACAAACAUUGUGUAACUGUUAGAGGAUUUAGGCUAAUCUUGUCCUGGUUGGCUCCCUGGUAGAGCCUGCCAUCAGUGUGUGAAUGGCUGAAUGAUAGACAUGUAUUGUAGAGUGCUUUGAGUGGUUGAUAAUACUAGAAAAGCAUUAUAUAUGCAAGAACAAUCCAUUUACCAUAUUCUUCACUGUGUCAGAACCUAUAGGUGUGCAUCACCUGUGUGAUCAUGAGAAGGCUGAAGAACCAGGAGUGACAAGAUAUCACCGGCUGCUGGGGUGCAGCAUUAAACCCAGAGACAGACAUUUUGGAAAUGAAAAGUCUCCUGCCACAAGAUCUUCAGAGCCAGAGCAUCAAAGAUCCAGACGAUUUCUGCCAAUUUGGAGGAGGAUUCAGAUUUUUCUGCUUUUUCUGCUGUGUUGUACCUCUGUUACAGAUUCAUUGACCCUUUGUGGUAUAUUUUCAUUUUACUUAAUAAUACACUGUAUAGUUAGGAUUCUUAAUUAAAAGACUGUAAUGCUUCUCCACAGAUGUUAUCAGAACUACCUUAUACAGAGCCCCCAAGGGUUAGGAGAAUGAAGAAGACCACAACUCCCUCAGCUCAACAACACAAUUUGUUGCUUCCUCCAUCCAUUUCAAAGUGUGGUGGAUGACUUGUGGUCGAUGACUUUGACUCCUUCCCAGUCAAUGCUGUGACUGAUUUUGGUCUGGAGUUCUCAGACAGCUGAUGUUGUCUGUUUCUGUUGUUCAUUCAGUCUCUUGUUCAGGGUUCUUGCUGUUUCACAAUACAGUGUUCCCCAUAGUUAUUUAAUGUGUUAUCAGAAACCACUCCAGUCUUUCUCUUUGGAUGAACCCUGAACCAUUACACUUGGUUGAAAGCUCCUUAAAGCUACUAACUCCA